GACGAACGCCGGCGGCGUGCUUAACACAUGCAAGUCGAACGAUGAAGCCGGAGCUUGCUCUGGUGAAUUAGUGGCGAACGGGUGAGUAACACGUGAGUAACCUGCCCUUGACUCUGGGAUAACUGCUAGAAAUGGUAGCUAAUACCGGAUACGACCCUCGGAGGCAUCUCCAGGGGGUGGAAAGAAUUUCGGUCAAGGAUGGACUCGCGGCCUAUCAGCUAGUUGGUGAGGUAACGGCUCACCAAGGCGACGACGGGUAGCCGGCCUGAGAGGGUGACCGGCCACACUGGGACUGAGACAUGGCCCAGACUCCUACGGGAGGCAGCAGUGGGGAAUACUGCACAAUGGGCGCAAGCCUGAUGCAGCAACGCCGCGUGAGGGAUGACGGCCUUCGGGUUGUAAACCUCUUUUAGUAGGGAAGAAGCGAAAGUGACGGUACCUGCAGAAAAAGCACCGGCUAACUACGUGCCAGCCGCCGCGGUAA
rnacentral:rRNA from 1 species